GACGAACGCUGGCGGCGUGCUUAACACAUGCAAGUCGAACGGAAAGGCCCUGCUUGCUGGGUACUCGAGUGGCGAACGGGUGAGUAACACGUGGGUGAUCUGCCCUGCACUUCGGGAUAAGCCUGGGAAACUGGGUCUAAUACCGGAUAGGAGCCAUUUUUAGUGUGAUGGUUGGAAAGUUUUUUCGGUGUAGGAUGAGCUCGCGGCCUAUCAGCUUGUUGGUGGGGUAAUGGCCUACCAAGGCGGCGACGGGUAGCCGGCCUGAGAGGGUGGACGGCCACAUUGGGACUGAGAUACGGCCCAGACUCCUACGGGAGGCAGAAGUGGGGAAUAUUGCACAAUGGGCGCAAGCCUGAUGCAGCGACGCCGCGUGGGGGAUGACGGCCUUCGGGUUGUAAACUCCUUUCGCUAGGGACGAAGCUUUUUGUGACGGUACCUAGAUAAGAAGCACCGGCUAACUACGUG
rnacentral:rRNA from 1 species